rnacentral:rRNA from 1 species
UACGGAGGAUGCGAGCGUUAUCCGGAUUUAUUGGGUUUAAAGGGUGCGUAGGCGGAUCGUUAAGUCAGUGGUCAAAUUGAGGGGCUCAACCCCUUCCCGCCAUUGAAACUGGCGAUCUUGAGUGGAAGAGAAGUAUGCGGAAUGCAUGGUGUAGCGGUGAAAUGCAUAGAUAUCACGCAGAACCCCGAUUGCGAAGGCAGCAUGCCGGCUUCCUACUGACGCUGAAGCACGAAAGCGUGGGGAUCGAACAGG